rnacentral:tRNA from 1 species
GCGGACGUGGCGAAACAGGUAGACGCAAGGGACUUAAAAUCCCUCGGUCGUAAGGCUGUGCGGGUUCGACCCCCGCCGUCCGCACCA